AUCGCACAUAUUAUUGAGACCAAUUAUCAACAUAGAAACUAGAAUAGAGUAGCAACAAUGACAACCAAGAUAUUUUCCCUCCUUAAGCUCCUUGCUCUUUCUGCAAGCGCUACUACCACGCCAUUUUCCUGCAAUGCUCACAAGCUCCUAUAGCUUCCCUUCUUCCCCCGUACCUUUCAUCAGUGAUGGCUUCAGUAUGUGAAAACCCAAUUCUUCAUCUCUAUAGGAUCCAACAGGCAAUUGCAGCAGGCAUCUUAACUUUAUCACCCUUGUUCCUCCAAUAACCGUCAGCCCUAUUACAACAGUUAUCUUUGGUGCAUUUGUUGGCACAAAGCAUCAGGGCACAAAAACUGCAUCAACUUGCGCUGGAAAACCUUACUGCCAACUCUCAGUAACAAAAGUUUAUUCCAUUCAACCAACUGGCUACAUUGAACUCUGUUGCUUAUUUGCAACAAUAACAACUACCAUUCAGCCAACUAGUUGUUGUGAGCCUGUUGCCUUCUUACAUAGCAGCAGUUGUUGCCGUUCUACCCGCACGAUGUGGCUAACACAACCACCCUCUUACAACUGCAACAAUUGCCGCCAUUCAACCAACUUGCGUUGACAAACCCAACAGCGUUCUACCUACAACCCAUCAUUGAUGGUGCCCUCUGUUAGAUUGCUUAUGAGUUAUAGUUCAAUAAUGAAGUUUUUUGGUUGAUGUUUGUGGCUUCCCAGAAAUAAUAAAGUACAUUU